GACGGUAACAGCCCGGUAGUUGAAAUGGCUUUCCCUCCAGAGUGGAUCCUGAGUACGGCGGAACACGUGAAAUUCCGUCGGAAUCCGGGAGGACCAUCUCCCAAGGCUAAAUACUCCCUAGUGACCGAUAGUGAACCAGUACCGUGAGGGAAAGGUGAAAAGCACCCCGGAAGGGGAGUGAAACAGUUCCUGAAACCGUGUGCCUACAAGUAGUUAGAGCCCGUUAAUGGGUGAUAGCGUGCCUUUUGUAGAAUGAACCGGCGAGUUACGAUUUGUUGCAAGGUUAAGCGGAAAAAGCGGAGCCGUAGCGAAAGCGAGUCUGAAUAGGGCGCAUAAGUAACAGGUCGUAGACCCGAAACCAGGUGAUCUACCCAUGUCCAGGAUGAAGGUAAGGUAAUACUUACUGGAGGUCCGAACCCACGCACGUUGAAAAGUGCGGGGAUGAGGUGUGGGUAGCGGAGAAAUUCCAAUCGAACUUGGAGAUAGCUGGUUCUCUCCGAAAUAGCUUUAGGGCUAGCCUCGAGGUAAAGAGUCAUGGAGGUAGAGCACUGUUUGGACUAGGGGCCCUUCUCGGGUUACCGAAUUCAGAUAAACUCCGAAUGCCAUGUACUUAUACUCGGGAGUCAGACUGCGAGUGAUAAGAUCCGUAGUCGAAAGGGAAACAGCCCAGACCACCAGUUAAGGUCCCCAAAUAUAUGUUAAGUGGAAAAGGAUGUGGGGUUGCUUAGACAACCAGGAUGUUGGCUUAGAAGCAGCCACCAUUGAAAGAGUGCGUAAUAGCUCACUGGUCGAGUGACCCCGCGCCGAAAAUGUACCGGGGCUAAACAUAUUACCGAAACUGUGGAUGAACCUCUUUAGAGGUUCGUGGUAGGAGAGCGUUCUAAGGGCGGUGAAGUCAGACCGGAAGGACUGGUGGAGCGCUUAGAAGUGAGAAUGCCGGUAUGAGUAGCGAAAGAAGGGUGAGAAUCCCUUCCACCGAAUAUCUAAGGUUUCCUGAGGAAGGCUCGUCCGCUCAGGGUUAGUCGGGACCUAAGCCGAGGCCGAUAGGCGUAGGCGAUGGACAACAGGUAGAGAUUCCUGUACCAGUGCUAAUUGUUUAACCGAUGGGGUGACACAGAAGGAUAGGGAAUCGCACGAAUGGAAAUGUGCGUCCAAGCAGUGAGUGUGAGAAGUAGGCAAAUCCGCUUCUCGCGAAGCAUGAGCUGUGAUGGGGAAGGAAAUUAAGUACGGAAGUUCCUGAUUUCACGCUGUCAAGAAAAGCCUCUAGGAAGAGUAGUACUGCCCGUACCGCAAACCGACACAGGUAGAUGAGGAGAGAAUCCUAAGGUGAGCGAGAGAACUCUCGUUAAGGAACUCGGCAAAAUGACCCCGUAACUUCGGGAGAAGGGGUGCUCUAUUAGGGUGCAAGCCCGAGAGAGCCGCAGUGAAUAGGCCCAGGCGACUGUUUAGCAAAAACACAGGUCUCUGCAAAACCGUAAGGUGACGUAUAGGGGCUGACGCCUGCCCGGUGCUGGAAGGUUAAGAGGAGUGCUUAGCUUCGGCGAAGGUACGAAUUGAAGCCCCAGUAAACGGCGGCCGUAACUAUAACGGUCCUAAGGUAGCGAAAUUCCUUGUCGGGUAAGUUCCGACCCGCACGAAAGGCGCAACGAUCUGGGCACUGUCUCAACGAGAGACUCGGUGAAAUUAUAGUACCUGUGAAGAUGCAGGUUACCCGCGACAGGACGGAAAGACCCCGUGGAGCUUUACUGCAACCUGAUAUGGAAUGUUUGUACCGCUUGUACAGGAUAGGUAGGAGCCGAAGAGACGUGUGCGCUAGCAUACGAGGAGGCAAUGGUGGGAUACUACCCUGGCUGUAUGACCAUUCUAACCCGCCACGCUUAGCGCGUGGGGAGACAGUGUCAGGUGGGCAGUUUGACUGGGGCGGUCGCCUCCUAAAGAGUAACGGAGGCGCCCAAAGGUUCCCUCAGAAUGGAUGGAAAUCAUUCGCAGAGUGUAAAGGCACAAGGGAGCUUGACUGCGAGACUGACAAGUCGAGCAGGGACGAAAGUCGGGCUUAGUGAUCCGGUGGUUCCGCAUGGAAGGGCCAUCGCUCAACGGAUAAAAGCUACCCCGGGGAUAACAGGCUUAUCUCCCCCAAGAGUCCACAUCGACGGGGAGGUUUGGCACCUCGAUGUCGGCUCGUCGCAUCCUGGGGCUGUAGUCGGUCCCAAGGGUUGGGCUGUUCGCCCAUUAAAGCGGCACGCGAGCUGGGUUCAGAACGUCGUGAGACAGUUCGGUCCCUAUCCGUCGCGGGCGCAGGAAAUUUGAGAGGAGCUGUCCUUAGUACGAGAGGACCGGGAUGGACACACCGCUGGUGUACCAGUUGUUCCGCCAGGAGCAUCGCUGGGUAGCUAUGUGUGGCAGGGAUAAACGCUGAAAGCAUCUA
rnacentral:rRNA from 1 species